CAGGGCUGCUCUGUGGCAUUGUUGGUGCAUUAUAUACACACCCACCCAAGCACUCUUUCCUGAAGAAACACCAUGUCCACCUGGGAGUACAGAAGUGAACAGGGCAGAAUCCCUGAUCUUGAAAAGCAUUUAGUGUAAAUAUAUAAACCAACAACCACAAGAUGAACUAAUAGAUUAUGAUGCAAAAGGCACUGAAAACUUGCUCUGGGAGGAAAGAAGAGGGCAUAGGGAGACUUCCUUUCCUGAGAAGGUGACUUUUCAGCUGAAUUUGAAGGGUAAGUAGGAAUCUUCCAGGUUAAAAAAGGGGGAGAAGAGAAGGUCCAGACCGAGGGAAGAUUUUGUUCAAAGGCUCACCAGCAAAUGCCUAAGGAGGAGUUAGGGAACCCGUGAGCAGCUUGGGAUUCUGGAGGGAGGGGUGUUCAUGGCGAGAUGAAGCUGGGGAAAUGGGCUGGGCCCUUACAUGGCAACUCAAGAGUCCACACUCCAUCCCUGAGUCACUGGGAGAGGCAACACAGGCUUCAUCACGAUAGGAGAGUAAUCCCAUUUCCUGCUUUGGGGCGACUUUGCUCUUAACAUGCAGAGGAGCCAGAGGCGGGAGCUGGGAGAAGAGAGACUGUUAGGAGGCUGCUGAAAUAGUCCAGGCGAGAGAUCUUGAAGCCCUGAACGUCAAUAUGUGCGGCACGAAGAGGAAGAAUCGAAUCUGAGCCAUUUGGUAUUUGCAAUGGAAAGGACCUCCUAACAGGAGGGGUGAGAUGUGGGAGGAGGAUUUCCAGGCUUUUCAGUUGGCUUGUGACACUACCCAAGACAGGAAGAGAGAGUGAAGUGUCGUUUUGGGCAUGUUGUUUUGGUAAGGACGUGCCUGUGGGUCAUCUAACUGGAGAUGUCCAACAGGCAGGCAGAAAUGUGGGCGUGGAAUCUGGGAGAGAAAACUCUAAUGGAAUAUUUUUCUUAUGACACAUUCCCGUUAAGCCUUCAUUCCUCGGGUUUGGCUAAGGCCACCGUGGACAGAUUGGUGGGGGAAGUGCUGUUCUGAGAUCCUGGGUGUAGUCUUACAGUCCUAACAGCAAGGCAGCUUUCUUUCCCUGUCUCUGCGUGGGGAACAGAAUUUGUGCAGGCUCAAGUGUGCCUGGCAAGAAGGCCAAACUGAAAACACCUUCCACAGCUCUGGGGCCUAACGUUGAAUUUCCAUCUUCAGCCGCACGUUUUCCAGGUGAGCUUCUCAAGCAGGAUAAAUUCCUGCAGAAGCACAGAAAUCUCAGGAGUCCCAAGGUUCCUAGCAAAUUAGAAUCUUGAGGUAGGAGAGGAGCCAGGCCCCACCCCAGAAGCCCAGUAGGAACUGGCACCAAGAGAAAAUCGACAAUAAAAGCAAUUGGUGAUUUGUGCCAUCAGAAGAUAGGCUGGCCAGGACAGGUCAAGGAGAAUGAGACAAGUUACAGCAAAUUUUAAUACAAUUGCUCUGAUUCUAGGUAAUUUCAGGAUAGCAUAAUAGAAUUAUUUUACACUUGAAGAUACUUUGGGAUGCAUGAACAUAAAGCCUCUGCCAUUUGCACUGUUUCAUUUACUGAACACCAAUCCUAUUAGUUUGCUCUAUAUUACAGUUAUUAUCCCCAUUUUAUGGAUGCAGAAAGUGGAGGGCAGACAGGUUAAAUGAUCUCCCUCAAAUCGCCUACCGGGUAAGUGGCAUAUCUGGGAUUUGGAAGCAGCCUGUCUGACUCCAGAGGCUGCCCUCUUAGCCACAGGCUCCACCAGCACGUGUAUGUGACUGACACAUGUGGAUGGCACUUUGUACCGCCAAAAGUACUCUCUUAUAUUUAUGUCCUCCAAAUAGACAGAAACAGGGCCAAGAUGAAACCUUUAGCCCGAGAUGGCUUUUUACAGUGUCCUCUGGGGCUGGAAGGUAGACCCAGUAUCCGGUAUCCUGCAGUACCUUCCAGGCAUGAGCCUAAGAAACAACAUCAGAGUGAAGCACACUGGCUUCUGCUUCACACAGGACAUGCUUCAUAAAGCCUGCGCUUCCUAUAAGAUCACACCUUCCACCUCAGCCCCUAGUCCUGGGACCAGAGCCACCAAGAGGACCUAAAUCAAGUUAUUAAUUGGCUUUCAACCAUAAGGAAGAACUUUCUUGUAUGCCUUACUUAUUUAUAUCAGCAUGGACUCAUGAAUUCUUAUUCAGAAAACCUCAAUACUUAAUAAAAAAAGAUAUGUGUCAUUAAAGCA